GUAGGUGGCAAGCGUUGUCCGGAAUUAUUGGGCGUAAAGCGCGCGCAGGCGGGGUCCUUUAAGUCUGAUGUGAAAGCCCACGGGCUCAACCGUGGAGGGUCAUUGGAAACUGGGGGACUUGAGUACAGAAGAGGAAAGCGGAAUUCCAAGUGUAGCGGUGAAAUGCGUAGAGAUUUGGAGGAACACCAGUGGCGAAGGCGGCUUUCUGGUCUGUAACUGACGCUGAGGCGCGAAAGCGUGGGGAGCAAACAGGAUUAGAUACCCUGGUAGUCCACGCCGUAAACGAUGAGUGCUAAGUGUUAGGGGGUUUCCGCCCCUUAGUGCUGCAGCUAACGCAUUAGGCACUCCGCCUGGGGAGUACGGCCGCAAAGGCUG
rnacentral:rRNA from 1 species